rnacentral:misc_RNA from 1 species
AACGCACGAGACCUGCGGACCUGCGGAAGGAUCAUUAACGAGUGUAACUUACCCUUUUUUUUAAAAGAGGGUAGUACCUCCUGUCCUUUGUAGGCCCCUUUUUAUUGGGGGGCUUUUUAAGACUUUCUGCUUCGGCGGGGUUAUUCCCGCCGGAACACCCUCAAAAAACUCUUCAAAAACUAAUUCAGUCCGAGAAUUUUUGAAAAUAAAAAAAACUUUCAACAAUGGAUCUCUAGAUCG